UGUUUACAGAAAGGAGGUUUCGGAAUCAACGAAAGAUCGAUCGUCAUUCUCGAUGCUGUUGUCUUUUAGCCGACCACAAUACGUCUCUUAAACUUGCAAUCUACUUGGACAUGUACUAAAAAACAAGGAAUUUGAACAUUUCGAACUCGAUUCUUCUUAAGAAAAGAAAUCUAUCAGAUUUUGACAAAAAGAUAUUUUAUUAAUCGUAACUGCUAAAAAUUCAAUUAAAAAGACACACGAGACGAUGGCUUUCAAAAUAAAUUUGUUAUUUAUAUUUGUCGUCUUUAACAUAUCUAGCAUGGGAGACAUAAUUUAUGAACCAAAAUCACCUUCGCGUGCCUCUUCGCGACCUGCAUAUUGUCACUUUGAGUUUGACCAUGGUGCUUGCUAUUCGAAUUUAAUGGAGAAAUAUUUCAAACCUGACAUGAAAUUUGGGUUUUCGACAGAU